GUGAAACAGUCUCAAAAGAAAAAAUUAAUUGACAAACAUUGUGUAUAUUCAAGGUAUACAACGUGAUUAUUUGAUAGACGUGUAAUGAGUUAUCACAACAAGCAAAUGGUACACAAUAUAGUUUCGGAGGGUUUAUGUAUAAGGGGACUAAUUAGAAAGGUUUGGAAAUGGUGUAGGAGAACCAAAGGGCUAGUGCCCAAGGGCAAGGGAAGGGAGUGGUUACCUGAAACUGGAAGAAAAGAUAGUUUUGUAGAGCAUCUGCUUUGAGAGCAGCAGUGACUUUUAUCAAGAGAUAGAGUUACCUUGAUGCCACAUCACGGGGUGAUCCAGGAGAAUGAAUACGCCGAUUUCUGUCCUCCCUUCCUCUACUCUUCCAUCAGGCUGUACCCAACAGAGCCCAUUUGAUGUAGUCCAAACAGACAGACUUUCAGGGGCAGCAAGUGAGGUGGAGAAAGAUGGGAAAUACUAAUAGAAGGGCAGUUGGAAAAUAUGUUUAGUCUGCCUUUUUGCCCCUUAUCAUCCUCUCUUGUCCUUAAUAUAGGUGAAAUUUCAUGUCCUUAACACAAGAGAUGCCUAGAGUCCCAUCAACUAUUUUAUCAUUAUGGGGUGAUAACCAUUUGUUCGUGCU
rnacentral:lncRNA from 1 species